UUUAUGGAGAGUUUGAUCCUGGCUCAGGAUGAACGCUGGCGGCGUGCCUAAUACAUGCAAGUCGAGCGAACGGACGAGAAGCUUGCUUCUCUGAUGUUAGCGGCGGACGGGUGAGUAACACGUGGAUAACCUACCUAUAAGACUGGGAUAACUUCGGGAAACCGGAGCUAAUACCGGAUAAUAUUUUGAACCGCAUGGUUCAAAAGUGAAAGACGGUCUUGCUGUCACUUAUAGAUGGAUCCGCGCUGCAUUAGCUAGUUGGUAAGGUAACGGCUUACCAAGGCAACGA
rnacentral:rRNA from 1 species